AGUGAACGCUGGCGGUAGGCCUAACACAUGCAAGUCGAACGGCAGCACAGGAGAGCUUGCUCUCUGGGUGGCGAGUGGCGGACGGGUGAGGAAUACAUCGGAAUCUACUCUGUCGUGGGGGAUAACGUAGGGAAACUUACGCUAAUACCGCAUACGACCUACGGGUGAAAGCAGGGGAUCUUCGGACCUUGCGCGAUUGAAUGAGCCGAUGUCGGAUUAGCUAGUUGGCGGGGUAAAGGCCCACCAAGGCGACGAUCCGUAGCUGGUCUGAGAGGAUGAUCAGCCACACUGGAACUGAGACACGGUCCAGACUCCUACGGGAGGCAGCAGUGGGGAAUAUUGGACAAUGGGCGCAAGCCUGAUCCAGCCAUACCGCGUGGGUGAAGAAGGCCUUCGGGUUGUAAAGCCCUUUUGUUGGGAAAGAAAUCCAGCUGGUUAAUACCCGGUUGGGAUGACGGUACCCAAAGAAUAAGCACCGGCUAACUUCGUGCCAGCAGCCGCGGUAAUACGAAGGGUGCAAGCGUUACUCGGAAUUACUGGGCGUAAAGCGUGCGUAGGUGGUUAUUUAAGUCCGUUGUGAAAGCCCUGGGCUCAACCUGGGAACUGCAGUGGAUACUGGAUGACUAGAAUGUGGUAGAGGGUAGCGGAAUUCCUGGUGUAGCAGUGAAAUGCGUAGAGAUCAGGAGGAAUAUCCAUGGCGAAGGCAGCUACCUGGACCAACAUUGACACUGAGGCACGAAAGCGUGGGGAGCAAACAGG
rnacentral:rRNA from 1 species